rnacentral:lncRNA from 1 species
CCACCGUGUCGACAAGGGGUUGCAGCUGGGCCGCGGAGGGGCGACGGGUGGUGAGCGGGAUGCCCAGAUAGGUGAUUCUCUGCUUUGAAUUGUAUGAUUGCCUGUUUAUUAGCCCUGGAAAAUGAAACGCUUCAAUGGUUGAUUAUCCUUCCACUUAGAUCAAAAGGAAUUUUUCCAAUAGAACUAUGGAACCCCUGAGCGGUUGCGGUUGUACCUGUACUGCAGGAAUAAGAAACUCACUAUUCACUCAGUUUAUUUUCCAUAAUAAGUUAUGUAGGAGAGAUGGCCGAACGGUUCAAGGCGUAGCAUUGGAACUGCUAUGUAGACUUUUGUUUACCAAGGGUUCGAAUCCCUCUCUUUCUGUUUUUCUUAAUUCAUCAACGUUAAGGAUCACAAUGUAUCAAAUCAAAUAGCAAUUUUCUCCAGCAAUAAUAUCUUAUAUUAUCUUACUUUUAUUUAAUAGAAAUUAGAAAUUCUCUAUAGCAAAUUACUGUGGUAUGUAAAAUUCUAUAUAUGAAUCCCUUCAUGCACGAUAUUGAUUGUACAACGUUGAUAGUUCGUGUUGUCCUGCACAUGACUGGCUCCGGACUGUAAAUUGAGAAGUGUUAAUAUAGAAGAAAAGGUAAUGAUGCAUUCAGUGGGAAGGUUCUGAUAAGAUGUAUUCAUGCUUUUCAAUGGCUGAUUUCUAAUGUAUGAGAGGGGCACCUGUACUUAGUCCAGGCCAAAUCGUUGUUUUUAGCAUAAAAUCAAAUGUAUCUUUGCAGUAUUCCUGAAAAAUGGUCUUACAUUUUUUCCCCUUGGUAUUUAUUUACUGUACUGUAUCGGCUCAGUUGAGACGAGGUGAACACGUGAUGACCGUCAUCAGGUCCUUCGUCACAACACCUGAGCGGGCGAGAUGUUCAAAGUUAAAUUAAACACUAUUAUCUCAUAUGCUGUGGAAGAACCAUAUAUGUCGUUUUUCCUGACAACUGUUAGCACUUGCUUUUGGUAUAUCAUGUUAUCAAUUCUGUGACAUGCUUAAAAGGAUGUAAUGAAAUGAACCCUGCGUCUUUAUUUGAUGAAUUCAGAUGAUGAAUCAAUUGUCUAUAUUUUGUUUUAUCUGUCUGCCAUCUCGCACCUCUAAAAUAUAAAUUGUGUAUUACCGGGCUGGCUGGAUAUGCACCAGCUAUGCAGCCUUGCCGAAUGUUUUAUGUUAUGAAGGCAUCAGCAUGGGUGUUUGUAUUUACAAUGCCUCCUUCACACUUAAUCCACCAUCAAUGAGGCAAGUGCACUCCUUUUUGUCACAGAAAAUCAAGUGAAUGUUGCAUUCACAAACCAAUUAGCACGUUUGGGUUGUAGAUACUGUGCAUUGAUCCCUACAUUUGUAACCAAUUCGUGUUUGAUUGAGUUUACUCUCUUUCUCAUGCUUUGUGCUUCCCUAGGUCGGGCAGCUCCGUGGGGACAUGAAGCCGAUGGCGAAGGCGUGAGGCGGGCAUCAUCAUUGUGGAGUUAUUUGUGCAAGUUACACCAUCAGCAACCAUGUAAAGACAUUUGCAUCAGCUAUCAUCUCAAGUAGACCAUUUCCAUGCUCUAAGUUAACUAUUGUUUAAAUUGUGAAAAAUCAAAGGCUUUUGUGCCUAUUAGUUUGUUCUAUCCUGAGCACAUGUGUUGUGUUCAAUUAGCAAAAUGUUACUGUAGACCACAAUAACUAUGCAUGCUCAUACAUUGUGCCUAUACUUAGCAUAGUAAUAUAUGAGAUAAUCAAAGCUGCUAAGGAGGAGCUCCUCCCGUGAGUCCGCCGUUGUGGCCAGAGUGAAAAGUACCUUGGAAUGAACAGUGACCAUAGUGAACAGUAUUUCCAUGUGAACAUUAUUUUCACUUUUUUUAUUCUCUUUCAGAUACAAUAAUAAAAAGAGCUCCUUUACGGUGAUUGGGGCGGUACUGGGAGUACUUUCAAGUACUUACCCCUUUGAUUUUUAUUAGCCGUCCGAUCUGGUGGGGGAUUAAAAAUGAAUUAACUUAAUUAGUUUAAUCAGAGAAGGGCAUAAUGGUCCAGGGUAA